GUUUUUCCAUUCGGCCCUUUCUGUAAUAUGGAGAGGUUGUCGGCGGUGGCUUCAGCUGCUUCACUGCCGGAGAGGACGACGAUUGCGGCGGCGACGUGUGGGUUUGUGAGCUGGUAUGAGGUGUUCGUGUCGAGUGACAGAGGGAGAAGAGAGGUUCAUUAUUACUUGAAGCGCGGCGAUGGGGCCUCAGAUCUGGCCGUUGUCGGGAAAGAGAAGAGCUUGAGGCAUAUG
rnacentral:misc_RNA from 1 species